CCUCCUCUGACUGCAGAGAUAAUGCCCUCCCUGUCAUACAAAAGCGGAUAGGAAAGUGGGGGAGGAACAGAACUGUGAGUCCAUUGGACCCGAGGUUUUGCGUGAUGUAAGAAUGCAGCCAGUAUCUCUAUGAUUGGGUGAACACAGCCUUAGAAAAGUACCCCUUUCUCCACUUGGUAGGGGGAAAGUGUGCCCUUUGUAAUAGGUUCCCUGAAGGACAAAAGUCUGAAAAAUCUUGGGCCUAUCACAUACAGCAUACUGUGGACCGGGUCUCAUGAUCAGUGAGACCCAGUUCCUAGCCAUGAGCGGGAAGAGCGGGCUAAGCCUGCUCUCCCUGCUCACGAGCGGGCAGGGAGCCCUGGGCGGCCGGAUUGGCUGCCCACAAGAUGGCUGGGUCUGAGACGGAGCUGGCAGGGGCUCGGGAGCUCGGGGGCCACACAGCCCCCAGAAGCCCCAGUAUGCCCUGCGCGAGCGCGCAGGGCAUACUGGGGAGACCUCUGAGCCGGGAAGCUGCUUUUGAGCCUCCCGGCCAGGGGUCUACUUGCGAGUAGCUGCAGCGUGGAGGCGCACCAUGGCUACUCACGAGCAGAUAGCCCUUGGUUUGCGGAGUGCUCGCUCCGCAAACCCAGGCUAAGGGGCGGGUUACAGGAGCAGGUUAGCUGCUCCAGAACCACCGGGCUCGACUGCAAGCCUGGUGGUUCUUACGUUCACAAAAAUCGGGCUAGGAUUUUUGUGAUCAUAAGAAUAGCCCCUGUAUGUUUCUGCACCACUUGCACAAGUGCAGGCAUUUCAGAAUCCAUGUAAAUAAUGGCGGGCAGUGUGACACAACCGUGUUUAUGCAAAGAUUGGCAUUUGCACAACUGCACUCUAGUGCAACUACAUAGAUUUGUUUUAAAUGCCCACAACACCCUGGGCAUUGUGGAAACUGCACUGUAUGUGGGCCUUGGUUUCUAAUAAUGGACCAGUUUCCCUGUCUGUAGGAUACAAAAUGCUCUUUGUCCAAAAUGUUUAUAUUGACCAAAAUUCCUUAGUACAUUUGAGAGGUUUUAUUUUGGGGAGCAGAAUAAAUUAAGGUAGCUACUGGUGGCGGGGGGGAGGGGGGAAAUGUGUGCCACAGCCAAUGGAAUGACUUGAAUUGUUUUAGCAACUAGUUUCAUGCACUUCAUGAAAGGUACUUAGUUGAACUGCCAGUCACUGUUACAUUUACAUUUCCAAGCAAUUAAUUAAAACCCCAAAUCAGGUUUCUUUCUUGAUCGUUGCCAGCAGGAGAUGGUUGCCAUGGUGACAGAAUGAUCAGUAGAAAUUGGAGAGGAGGAGGAGUGGUGGGGAGGGAGAUGAGCUGUUUAUUAUUGAAACAUAAGGGAAGGUCUGGCUGGCCACAGCCUUCACCUAGAUGCCUUGCCCUUGCUUGGUUUGUAGAAACGCUCUAGGUUGGUGAGACCCAAGUGGGCCAUCCUACUUUUCUUCUGGAAUGUCUUUUUGUGUGUGUUUUUUUUAAACUAAGCCCGAGCUCAUGGCCUCCAUGGAAUGAAUGGAAUGGAGCAAAGGGAGCAUAAAAUUCGAGGAAAUAGUUUGACCAGGUAAUCAGCAAUUCACUUUCAUCUCAGAUGGAAACUUUGGAUGGAGCAGAUCAUGGGCAUUCUGUUACUCUUAAGGACCUCCUGAAGGAUUUACUACACACCCGUCCUAGAGAUAUCCACCUGGCACAAAUGCUUUUAGCCUUUAAAGUGUACUGAAUGUACAUGGAACUUUACAGAGCAACAGGAAGAGGAGACAGAUCCUGACAUUGAAGAGCUUGCAUCAAUAGUGGGGAAGGCACCAGAGGGAGAAGGAAGAGAGGCAAAGGGUAACAAGGGAUCUAUGAAAGGAAAUGCAGUUACAUGCGCUGCUCUUGGGGAUGAAGACAAAAGACCAAGAGCAGUUCUAUAGGUGUGGAAAUAGGGUUUCCCCAACUGCACAGAAAAAUGUAGAUCCCAUUUUAACAGCAAAAGGGGCAAAUGUGUGAACAGCAGUGUUCCCUCUAAGGCGCGCGCAUGUGCAUGUGCUCACAAGUUUUUGGAUGUCCGUUCAGUUAAUUUUAGAUCCUGCUCAGUUUGAAUCAGGAAAGCCCCAAUCUGAAUGCACAUAUGCACACACUGCCUUGAUACUGCCACCCAGAACAAAACUUAUUCUGCACAGAGAUGAAAAAAAUGAGAGAGAACACUGGUGAACAGGGAUGCAAACAGAGGGAGGGCUUGAGGAGAGCAACUCUUCACUUCUUUUAGUGGGGAGGAUUGCUACUUUUGCCGGGGAGAUAUGGGUUAUUAGGUUUGGGGAGGAUUCAGUAAAAUUAGAGGGAAAUGCCUCCUCAGAUUCUUAAAUGGGGAUUUGUACUCCUGUGCCACUGAAUCCUCUCUAGGACCACACUGAAGGCUUCCUGACCUAAGUCCCAUCUGUUACACCACAUCAGUUCUCAUACAGAGAUGGCUAGGUAUCUAGGAUACCAAAAAGAGAGAGGAAAAAAUAAGGAUGAGCAAAGAAGGAGGAAGCAUUAGCAACAUCAGAAUAAACUAAUUAACUGAAUAUCCCCUGUAGGAAAGAUGUUAACCACUGCUGACAUCAAUUUCACCUUUACCUGGAUAUCAUGAGCACAGCAAUAACGUCGACCGUCAGACACCUGUCACUGUAUGUAAAAAUGGAUUAUCCUAAUCUGAUUUGUGCCUAGUCAGGGGAAGUCAGGGUGAUGGGAAAUCCUUCUCUUUUUAAAAACUUUGCUCAUUCUUUUAAGACUUGGGAAGAAGGCAUAUAGUGGGAUUAAUCCUGAAGAUGUUCCUGUAUCAGCUUGACUCCCUUUGCAGAAGCACAUGCCAAGUCAAAGAGAUGGGCCAGUUGUUGGGUGGGUUUAGCAGAUGUACCUUGCAGGGCCCAAGCGUAUGGGGAGGAAUGAGACCCUGAGGUCCUUGAGCGCCUGGCCUGAGCCGCAAGCCCAUUUUCAGGACAAAAAGAGAGGGGCUAAUUUGCAGAAUCUGCUUGCAGAAUCUCCUUGAAGAUGGUUAUGCACCUAUUUUCCUGGAUCCAGAUCUUGUGAGAUUUGACGGCGUCAUGAUAGACUACAACAAGAAAUAUUCUGAACAGUGAACUGUGUGAGAGAAAGAUGGAAAAGGGGGAGUGUGCAUGUGUGCACACUGGCACACUCAGUUAAUCCUCUGCUGACUGAGCAAAGAGGCACCUUUUUAAAAUGAUGAUUCUCUUUAUUGAGCAGGGGGAGAGCAACUGGCAAUAUCCAAGCCCAGCACAACAUCCCUCCAGUGGCUAUUCCCGAUGGCUAUCUUAUAUUUCUUUUUUAGACGGUUGAUAAUUGUCUAAAACUAUGCUGAUAAUAGUCUAAAACUAAUCACUCUUCUCUCUCGUCGUGUGACUUUGUCAUCAAACCUUAAAUUACUUGUAUUCUCAGAUCAUCUCAACUGCUUCAUGGUACAGAAAUAGGAAGACCGCAGGUGUACUGUCUAUAGUACCUGCAACACUUCCUGAUAUGCAUGAAACGCAUCAGCCAGGACUAAUAGGCUAAUAUACACUUUCAGUUCUGUUAGGUCAAGGUGCUUCCAUCAGAACAGAGGAAGCUACUGCCUACUGAACCAAAUGGUCCAUUUAAAUCAGUAUUGUCUACUCUGACUGGUUGUGGCUCUCCAGGAGUUCAGGCAUUUGGAUUCCUCCCUCAGCGUUCAUGAUAGUUCCCGCCCUUCUCUCUCAGUCUCAGAUUGCAGGGGAGGGAGCUGGUUCACUCACUGCCUCCUCCUGCUAGACUAGAAUUCUCUAGGUUUGCUGGACUAAACUUCUUUUGGUCUGGCCUCUCACUGGAGGACCCAGACCCCACCUCACUACUGUGCAGCAGCCAAAUGAUAGACUGGUUGUAGGCCACCAUUUCUGCUUGUCACAUAACCCACGACCUUGGCACCUUCACUGGCAGAUGAAUACGGUUCAGCAGACUCAACCAUUUCCCAUUUUUGUUCUGCUGUGAUUUAAUGUGUGUUUUUGUCUCAUGUUUUAAUGUAAGCUGCCCAGAGAACAAUUUGUUAUGGCGUGGCUAACAAAUAAAGUUUAUUUAUUGUU